GCAAAGGCUCUUUUAAGAGCCACCUACAUUGCUAUCAAAAGAGCAG
rfam:Scleropages formosus scaffold20674, whole genome shotgun sequence.